rnacentral:rRNA from 1 species
UACGUAGGUGGCAAGCGUUAUCCGGAUUUACUGGGCGUAAAGCGCGCGUAGGCGGUUUUUUAAGUCUGAUGUUAAAGCCCACGGCUCAACCGUGGAGGGUCAGUGGAAACUGGAAAACUUGAGUGCAGAAGAGGAAAGUGGAAUUCCAUGUGUAGCGGUGAAAUGCGGAGAGAUAUGAAGGAACACCAGUAGCGAAGGCGACUUUCUGGACUGUAACUGACGCUGAGGUGCGAAAGCGUGGGGAUCAAACAGG